UGGUGCCUCUGGCGGGUCUCGGCUGUACAGUGGAUGCUUCUUAACUGAGCUGCCAUGCCCACUGGAUAUUAAUUAUAUCGUCUAUAUUGUCUUAUUCUUCCCUGAUCUUCGUAUCUGUAUGGGAAGGUGAAUGUUGAGAACACGACAUUUUCUUUGUUGCUGGUGUAAAGGUGUUCCUUUGACGAGGAGACGGACGUCGUUAUUGAGAAGGAUGCUAGCGUCUUGGCACCAACAAGGAGCGUGAUAUUUACCCCGUUGGUGGUCAGUGUUGGUGAGCGGUCAUGAGGGGAGCAUGCCCGCACCUCCUGCUAACGCUGCUACUGCUCCUGAUUAGCUUCGUUACUACCCUGCCUGCUGAUGCUUCAGAUCCAUUAGCUCAACCAUCUGAGGACCUCAGCAUCUCAGAUAUUGACCCGGUCGACUCCAAUUCUGAGCGGUUCGAUCCGGCAGCACCUGACCUGACCUCCAGCACAAGACCUGUCGUAUGGGAUCGCCUUGACGACUCUUGGGGGUCCUCUCAGGCGGUCGUUGAACGGCAGAUAUCCAGGGCGACAAGGGUGAUCGAGGAGCAGAAACGGGUCAUCGCCAACCUUCUGGAGAGAUUCGAGGUUAUGGACACGAAGCUGCAGGGGAAGUUUUGUUGCUGCCCGGGAGUUAACACGCCAUUGAGGCCAUGAACAGCACCGAAUGAAAAGCCAGCGGGUAUGGGGGUGUAGGGUGACUCUACUCACCUCACCCCAGCACACACACACAAAGCAGAAGUGUUAGGAAGGGCUGAAGCGUUCUCACAGAUUCUCCCUUCUCAACACACGCGAGAGACCAUCCGCUAUCACCACUACCAGGUGGAUAGCGACGCCUUUUCACGCCAAAGAAUGAUUCCUGCUCCUCCGGGCUGUCCCCACAAGAAGAUGGCCAUGGAAUUUGUGAGGAAGAUGUAUCUAGUACCCUGUCUUCAGGCUCGCCUGUGGGCUGGUGUCCGGAGAUUUCCUCUCUCUGUCUCUCAUCACUCAACUUAAGGGGAAUUAUUUAUUUGUAUAAAAUGUUUACCCUUGUUAUAUUCUCUACGUGUGGCUUGCUAUUUGAGUUCAAUGUUGUAAAUUCUAAGAAAUGGCAGAAUGCAGGAAAAAUCACUCUAUGUGGUUGAUGCUCUGAUCAAAGGAAUGGUGAGGAUAGGUGACCGUGCCAUUAUAAGUGAGCAUGGCUGCGUUUAUAAGUGAGCGUGGCAGUAGAAGUUAAAGUGGGUGUGGCAGUAGACAGUUAAGUGGGUGUAGCAGUAGACGUUUAAGUGCGUGUGGCAGUAGAAGUUAAAGUGGGUGUGGCAGUAGACAGUUAAGUGGGUGUAGCAGUAGACGUUUAAGUGCGUGUGGCAGUAGAAGUUAAAGUGGGUGUGGCAGUAGACAGUUAAGUGGGUGUAGCAGUAAACGUUUAAGUGCGUGUGGCAGUAGAAGUUUAAGUGAGUGUGGCAGUAGAAGUUUAAGUGAAUGUGGCAAUAGAAAUUGAAGUCGAUGUGGCAGUACAAGCUUUAAUACGUGUAGCAGUACAGGCUUAAGUGGGUGUGGCAAGUUUAAAUCGGAGUGACGGUAGAAACUGAAGUGGGUCGAAGCAGUACAAGUUAAAAUGUGCAGUAUAGUAGAAGUUGUAGCACAGUCCAAGUAGAGUGUGGUAGUGACAAUGGAGAGCUGUGCCUGACUAUUCCCUCUGUGUAACACAGGUCUGGCAGCAGCUGACUCAACCCAUAUUGUCUUUCAUGUACCAGGGUAACCAGGAGAUGUCUUUCCUCAGCAUUGCUUUUUAAUUUCUUAAUAUAAAUAUAAAAUAUAUGUAUUUCAUACACCUUGGGUUCUAGGACUCUCGAACGUACAUACAUAAACAUAAACAAAUCUCUGUUACUGUUCCAACUUCAGUGGAAUUAAAUAUAUAUAUAAACCAAAUGCCAAGGAUUCAUAAUCCUUCCAUACUCUUUAAUGUAUGGUAAAGUAAUCCUAACUGCUGGGAUUAUGGAUAUUGACGCUCAUAAAUACUUGUCAGGGUGAAAGGCAUUCGAACCCGUAUAAUCAACAAUGAAUUAAUACGUUACAGUGGUGACUUGUCUUAUAACUUUAUUAAAUGAUAAGGGCAAGAGUAGCAAUGUUACUGGUCACAUGUUAUAUACAGUUUUGUAUGUCUAAGACGCUUUUAUUACAAAAAUUACAUAAUUUUUAUGAAUAUUUUUAUGAGCAUGAGUAUUACAUAAUGAAUGUAAUACUCAUACUCAUCCUGCGAGUAUGUUGACUCACAGGAUGAGUGACGCUACCCACUAACGCCCCGUCCUCUUGUGCGUACAAAAUGUAGCGUUUCUAAAUAUACGCAUUUUCUUGUGAAUUUCGGAAGUAGAUGCUUACGCGAUCUGUGAAUAAACUUAGGAGUAAACAGGAGCGUAUUAUUGCUUACAUAAAUUUCCUAGCAUCAUAUUCCUAGCAUCAAGUACGCUAAGCUUAGCGUGCUUGAAGUGUAGGUGGUGUUAUAUAAGAUGACUGUGAAUCUGGUAGUCUCAGUGCUCCUCUAAGCUACUUAAGAGUCUCAGAAAUCACCGCCUUUGUGACUUGUAAAGGAGAAUGUGCUCAAGCGCUUGUUCCCGAUAGUUCAGGUGCUUGAGUAUCGUUCCUUCACUCACCCCCAUACAUCCCCAACUCCUUGUUCUCACACCUCCUCCAAGUGUUACACAUUCAUAAUGUCUUAGUGCUUUCUCCUCAUAAUUUACUACCUAGUCGCAGGGGAGUUCCUUGUUCUCUUAACGUGGCAUUACUUAGCGUUUCAGUUGCUAAAAUAUUAGUCAAAUUUACUACCAUGAAUAAAAACUAACAAACAUG
rnacentral:lncRNA from 1 species